GCGCUCGUAGCUCAAUGGAUAGAGCGUCAGCCUCCGGAGCUGGAAAUUCCGGUUCAAGUCCGGACGAGCGCG
rnacentral:tRNA from 1 species